UACAGAGGGGGCAAGCGUUGUUCGGAAUUACUGGGCGUAAAGGGCGCGUAGGCGGCCUGCUAAGUCGAACGUGAAAUCCCUGGGCUCAACCCAGGAACUGCGUCCGAUACUGGUUGGCUUGAAUCCGGGAGAGGGAUGUGGAAUUCCAGGUGUAGCGGUGAAAUGCGUAGAUAUCUGGAGGAACACCGGUGGCGAAGGCGGCGUCCUGGACCAACACUGACACUGAAAAGCGACAGCCAGGGGAGCAAACGGG
rnacentral:rRNA from 1 species